UUUCCGGUUUACAAGCUCGCGAUCUAACAACAAGGUUUCGGCCGGCGGCGGUAAACGAAGGCGGUCGGAGGACCACGUGAAGCUUCCGGCAGCGGCGGCGGCGAUCAACCUUGAUCUCCGUCUUACGCCGAUUUUCCUGCAGAAAGCUCCGGAGAGUAACCGCCGGGCUGGCUCGCCGUCGAUGAACUCGGAGGAGUCCGUUACCACGACGGCGUGCUUGGAGGGUGGAAUCGGAGAUCAGUGGGCCCACGGCGGAGACCGGAAAGUUCUCAACCUUUUCAUCUGAGGACUCUUUUUUGUUUAUGUUUUUGUGAAUCAAGUUUAAG
rnacentral:lncRNA from 1 species